rnacentral:rRNA from 1 species
GAUGAACGCUGGCGGCGUGCCUAAUACAUGCAAGUCGAGCGAACAGACGAGGAGCUUGCUCCUCUGACGUUAGCGGCGGACGGGUGAGUAACACGUGGAUAACCUACCUAUAAGACUGGGAUAACUUCGGGAAACCGGAGCUAAUACCGGAUAAUAUAUUGCACCGCAUGGUUCAAUAGUGAAAGACGGUUUUGCUGUCACUUAUAGAUGGAUCCGCGCCGCAUUAGCUAGUUGGUAAGGUAACGGCUUACCAAGGCAACGAUGCGUAGCCGACCUGAGAGGGUGAUCGGCCACACGGGAACUGAGACGCGGUCCAGACUCCUACGGGAGGCAGCAGUAGGGAAUCUGCCGCAAUGGGCGAAAGCCUGACGGAGCAACGCGGCGUGAGUGAUGAAGGUCUUCGGAGCGUAAAACUCUGUUAUUAGGGAUGAACAAAUGUGUAAGUAACUAUGCACGUCUUGACGGUACCUAAUCAGAAAGCCACGGCUAACUACGUG